rnacentral:lncRNA from 1 species
AAGUCUGUGACCUAUACCACAGCUCAUGACAAUGCUGGAUCCUUGACCCACUGAGCGAGGCCAGGGAUCAAACCAACAUUCUCACGGAUACUAGUCAGGUUUGUUACUGUGCCACAAAGGGAACUCCUAAAGUAGCUUUUAUUUUCCUACUGGUCUUGUUUUUCUGAGGUGGACUUAAUUUUAAAAAACACUUUUACUUGGACAUAAUUUCAAAUUUACAAAAAGUUGCAAAAAUAAAAAGUUCAGAGAAUACCUGUAUCAUUUAGUUGCUCUUGUGCAAUGUCUCUGUCUCUCUCCAUACAUAUUUCUUUAUAUGCAAUUUUUUUCUUAAACCACUUGAGGUUAAAUUAAAUACAUCCUGGCCCUUCACCCCUAAAUACUUCAGUGUGUAUUUCCUAUCAGCUUCAUAAUUUUACAUUGAAAUAACACUUGAAUCUACCAUCAAUAUUCCCAUUUUGUAGGUUGGUCAUUGUUGUAGCAUUUCCCCUGCAGUACAGGGGCCAUCUGGAGUCAGGCCCUACGUUUAGUGGGUCUUGACUUUAGCUUCUUUUACAUUCUUGAAGAAUAUAGUUUAUCCCUCCACCACCUUUUUUUUGGCCAUGCCCAUGGCAUGGAAGUUCCCUCGCCAGGUAUGGAACCUGUGCCACAGCAGUGACAAUACCAUAUCCUUAAUCCACUGAGCCACCUGCAAACUCCCUCCACCCUACUUUUUGAUAGAACAUUCCCUAUUUUGUUUUUGUCUGAUGUGUCCUCAUGAUUAAAUUAAGGUUUUAAUUCUUAACUGGACUGCUGGACAGGUGAUUUGUGUCCUUCUCAAGAUACCACUUCUGGAAGCACGUGAUAUCUGUAUGUCCCUUGUUGAUGAUGUUAAUUUUGAUCAUCUGGUCCAUAUAUGACCAUAUUUCCCAACUGGCUUUUUUUCCUUCCUGGCAAAUAAGCAAUUUGGGAGGAAACAUUUGAAGAUAUAUCCUGCUCUUCAUCAAAGUUCCUAUUUAAAUUUGGCAUCCAUUAUUGCUGAGGUAAUUUUACCAUGAUGGUUGCAAAAUGAUUCAACAAAUCUAACACUCCUUUCACAUUUACUGGUCAGCCCACAGCAUUCUACUGCAAAGAGCCCUUUCUUCUCCUAUAUUUAUCUACUUAUUAUCUCCAUUAACUUACGAAUUCCUGUUUCCCCAUUUCUAUAUUUACUUUGUUUUCUUGUGUUCCUUCUAUUUAUAUGUGUAUAUUAUACUUUUUUUCUGAACCAUUUGAUGGUAGGCUACACACAUCAUGACUUUUAACCUCUAAAUAUUUGUCUGUACUUAAUUAUUUUGGUGUUUGAAUUGUCCCCUGGUGGGUCCUAUAUCUUUGUAGUAUGCCUAUAUUAUUCUGAGGGAGUACUUCCUUGCUUUUUGGUAUAGUAAGAUGUCCCAAGUUUAGCUUGUCCUUACCCUACCCUAGCCCUGGAAUUAGCCUUUCUCUAAAGAGCCCUGUUUUCUCUUAGUGGAAAAUGGAUUGGAGAUGAAGGCUAGCAGCUCAUUGCUGCUGAGGUGCUUCUGCUUCUUGGACCUUUCAGAAGACAGAGCUAGGAAAUAGGUACAUAUAUAUGCACAUACGAAUAUGCAUAUACUGAUAUAUACAUAUAUGUUAAUAACGGGUUUCAUUUUAAGUUAUGGUAUUUUUAUUAUGAUUAUAAUCGAGAAGAUGUCAUAGUAGUAUUUAUAAAGUUCUGAAUAAAGUCAGUGAAAUCACAAUCCAAUCUAACAACUCAGAGAGUUUUCAUGUUCCCUUUUAGUAAAUGUCUGUACAUAUAAUUUUAUAGGCUCAUAGUCUGAAAUUUUUUCCACUUAACAUGUAAGAAGCAUCUGAGUUACUAUAUCAUUUUUACAAUCUCAUUCUAAAUUUCUCUGCUACAUAUCAUUUAGCAGAUUCUACCAUUCUUGUAUUGCUGGACACUUAAGUUGUCUCUAAUUUUUUGUUAUUAUAAGUAAUUCAGAAGUGAACAUUUUUAUACUUUCCUAAUUGACUUUCUUAUUUGUUUAUUUAUUAGAUGAUUUCUCAGAAGUAGGAAUACUAGUUCCCAAAAAGGUAGGUAUGUUUUGGUGGUUUGAUAUGUACUAGCACACAGAUUAAUCAAAUAUUUACUUAAGUCUAUACAAGAAUUGAAUAUAUAGAGAUAAGACAUAUGUAGUCCCCAUUAGCAAGGGGGUGAAAGUCUAAUGGAAGAAAGAUAAAUUCUUUUUUUUUGGCCAUGCCCAAGACAUGUGGAAAUUCUCAGGCCAGGGAUAGAAUUGCACCAAAGUGGUGAUUCAAGCUACAGCAGUGAAAAACUCCAGAUCCUUAACCUGCUGAGCCAUCAGGGAACUCUGAAAGGUAAAUUCUUUAAAAAUUAUAAUUUGAAAUGGAAACAAAGAACAUUUAACUCACUUUUUUGUCUUUUAUUCUUUUAUUCUUUUUUGGCUGCCCUGUGGCACAUGGAGUUCCCAGGUCCAGGGAUCAGAUCCGAGCCACAGUUGUGACCUUUGCUGCAGCUGCAGCAGCACAGGAUCCUUGGGUCCUUUAACCCACUCUGCCAGGCUGGGGAUGGAACCUGUGUCUUGGUGCUGCAGAGACACCACUGAUCCCCUUGCGCCAUAGUGGGAUCUCGAGGAAAGCUUUUUAGGAGGAGAUGAUAG